UAAUACAGAGGUCCCAAGCGUUGUUCGGAUUCACUGGGCGUAAAGGGUGCGUAGGUGGUGGGGUAAGUUUGAUGUGAAAUCUCCGAGCUUAACUCGGAAAUGGCAUUGAAUACUACUCUGCUGGAGGGUCGGAGGGGAGACUGGAAUUUUCGGUGUAGCAGUGAAAUGCGUGGAUAUCGAAAGGAACACCAGUGGCGAAAGCGAGUCUCUGGACGACUCCUGACACUGAGGCACGAAAGCUAGGGGAGCAAACAGGAUUAGAUACCCUGGUAGUCCUAGCCGUAAACGGUGCACAUUUGCUGUAAGAGGAAUCGACCCCUUUUGUGGCGAAGCUAACGCGCUAAAUGUGCCGCCUGGGAAGUACGGUCGCAAGAUUA
rnacentral:rRNA from 1 species